CGCUGGGGCCCUGACAGGCUCUGUGUUCCCAGGGAUGGCCGGGCGGCUCCUGAGGGGGCAGCAGGCAGAGCUGCAGCUCAUCUCCGAAGCCCUUGAAGCCAUGGCAGGUGGCAUCAGCCUUGAGGAGGGAAGCCUAGCCAGUGAAACCCUGGACCUUCUCAGGGCAGGAGACCGUGCUCCAAUCUCUGUGUUCCUGAGGCUGAGAGAUCAGCUCCACAGGGCAUGGAGGUCACGGCCUCGUCCAUGGGGCUGUGCCUGGCUGUGCUGCUGGAGCUCCACUGAGACGUGAUCUGGGAGGCUCUGUCUACUGUGGCCGCCUGAUCCAGCAGGCAUUUUCCAUUUAUUUCAAGUCUGUCCAUUUCGUGUUUUCAGUUUUCUGUAGUGUUUAAAUAUAGGAUGUGUUCUAAGAAACAGACUGCAAGACUGUUCUUUUGCUGCCCAGGGUCUGCAGGGCAUAGGGGAAGAGGGGGAAAAGGG